rnacentral:lncRNA from 1 species
UGAACACUGGAAUUGGUGUUGGAGAAUAAUUAACUUAAAAUAUCAACUAGCACUCCCCUAAUUCCAAUUCCAAUUCCAAUUCCAAUUCCAAUUCCAAUUCCAGGGCAUGGUUCAAUGCAAAUAAAUAAAGACUACAUCUGUAGGAAAUUCAAAUUUUCUACACACCCUGAUAAGUAGCAUGUGUUCAUUUUGUUUCUUACAUUUCUUUUUCGUUAUUGAUUAUGGCGUGCCUAUCUCAUAUUUACACCUACUUAUUUUUAGUCUAACACAUACUUGCACAAUCCAUAUAACUGGCUUUCUCCUCCUAUUUUUGUUAUUCUUCAACGUUCUGAACCGUAAACUCAUUGAUCUGGUUUAUAUUUCUAAAUCCCUUUUUUUCAGUGUUAGGAUUUCCUUUCAUGGGUAUAGUUGAAUAAAAAAAACCCACUUUUCUUUAAAUUAAAAAAAAAACAAUAUUUGGAUUUGCACUUGGCUUGUCACACCCCAGUUCAAUUAACAAGGCCAUCUUGUGCUCAAAUAUCU